CGCUAGGCCAAUUGUGCGUCGCCCCACGCACCUCCCGGUCGCGGCCGGCUGUGACAGAGCCUGGGCGCGAACCCGGAGUCUGCGAUGCAGUGCCCUAGACCACUGCGCCACCCGGGAGGCCCCACCUGCACCUUAAGUCUAUUUGCACAGAAUCUCUGCAUUCUCACUUCCCUCUCCCUCUCACACACAUACACAACACACAUACCUAUUUAUUAUUUACCACUCUACCUUGCUCCUAACUAGUCACUAUUCACUUACUACUUACUUGUAUAUAACAGUACACUGACAUACAGUAGUAUAUUCACAGUAUUUUUUUAUUACCUUCUUUUUUUAUUAUUGACAUAGUAUUUUGGACUUGUUACGAGAAUUUUCAAUUCCAAUGAUGAUGACUCAACUAUUUCAUAACUUUGACCAAUUCCCAGAGCUCUGAAGUCAGAAAUGCAAAAACAGUCAUUUUAUAACUCCCCCCCACACACACACACAGUUUUAUUACUUUUCUACCAGCCUUGGCAGUUUGGAAGGGCCCUCUUUCCUGUUGUCAGUUUUCAGAGUUACAACAAGGUAAUAUGUAUUUCAGUUGUCCUUUGUUGUCUCAACUCUCACAUUGCUACAUAAUAACACAAUGGCCUAGUCACACACACAUUUCAUACAAUUAUAUGGUUUCAGGGUGGAAUUCUUUAGUCAUUACUUUAAACAUAUAAAUUCCUUUAUCAGGACUGCGUUAGUUUUACCGCUCAUUUUAUUAUUUCUGCAAUGUUGAGGAAGCUCGCAUGUAAGCAUUUUAUUUCACUGUUUACGCUGUAUCCUGUGCAUAUGACGAAUAAACUAUGAUUUAAGUGUG